GGCAGAAGGAAGAAGACUAGAUUUUACAAAACUGUAAAUCUUAAACCUUUGCUUUUUGUGCUUGUGUAGCACAAACCUUAACCACACUCAAAGCAAACCAGGAGGAAGAAGAAACGUUUUCUGUGAAGUCAAUCUCAGUCUUUCAUAAGAACAGCCAGCAAAUAUUUGUUCUGUCCCAGUUGAAGGAACACUUCAAACACGACCCGGCUUUUAUUUUUGGGGGGUAGGGGGUUACCUGGCAUCCAGCAGCAGAGACAGAGCAGCCAGCAGACCACACCAACAAGCACUGACCAUCUCCUCCCACACCAGAUGGGCUCCUAAGACAAACCAUUCCUGGAUCGCUAAAGUGUCACCACUUCGAACCCGUUACCUGGCUGCGGGUUCCACUCCUCAUUUGGAUGGGCCUCUCUGAAUUCAGCAGCAGCAGCUUCCUCCAGGGCCAGCUCCUU